CCUACGAGAGGCAGCAGUAGGGAAUAUUCCACAAUGGGCGAAAGCCUGAUGGAGCAACGCAGCGUGCGUGAAGAAGGUCUUCGGAUCGUAAAGCGCUGUUGUUAGAGAAGAAAGUGCGUGAGAGUAACUGUUCACGGAUCGACGGUAUCUAGCCAGAAAGCGACGGCUAACUACGUGCCAGCAGCCGCGGUAAUACGUAGGUGGCAAGCGUUAUCCGGAUUUAUUGGGCGGAAAGGGAACGGAGGCGGUCUUGUAAGUCUGAUGUUAAAGUCUCGGGCUUAACCCGCGUAGUGCAUUGGAUACUGGCAGACUUGAGUUAAGUAGAGGUGAGUGGAAUUCCAUGUGGAGCGGUGAAAUGCGUAGAUAUAUGGAAGAACACCAGUGGCGAAGGCGGCUCUCUGGUCUUUUACUGACGCUGAGGUUCGAAAGCGUGGGUAGCAAACAGGAUUAGAUACCCCAGUAGUC
rnacentral:rRNA from 1 species